CUCUCUGCCGGAUUAAAUGCGUUAAGUGCCCCGCCUGUGGAGUAUGUUCGCAAGGCUAUACUCAAAGGAAUUGACGGGGGCUCACACAAGCGUUGGAGUAUGUUGUUCAAUUCUGAAGCAACGCUGUAGAACCUUACCUGGGCUUGACAUGCAGGGAUUAUCCCGAUGUAAGUCGGGUGCUUGCCGUCAGGUGUAACCUGCACAGGUGCUGCAUGUCUGUCGUCAGCUCGUGUCGUGAGAUGUCGGGUUAAGUCCCAUAACGAGCGUAACCCUUUUUGCCAGUUGCUACCGGUUCGGCCGGGCACUCUGGCGAUACUGCCGGUGUCACACCGGAGCAAGGUGGGGACGACGUCAAGUCAUCAUGGCCCUUAUGUCCAGGGCUACAAACGUCCUACAAUGGUCGGUACAAAGGGAAGCAAGUCCGCGAGGCGGAGCAAAUCCCCAAAGCCGGCCCUAGUUCAGAUUGGAGGCUGCAAUUCGCCUCCAUGAAGGUGGAAUCGCUAGUAACCGCCGCUCACCCAUGCUCCGCUGNAUAUGUUCCUGAGCCGUGUACACACCGCCCGUCAAGCCACCCAAGUCGGGG
rnacentral:rRNA from 1 species